AAAAAGUUUCGAGCCAAAAGUCGAAACUUAAAAUAAGAACUUGGUUUAGGACUUCACCCCCCGAAACUUAGCUUCAUUUUAGAGCUUCAACCCCCGAUAACCCUAGCCCUCUUCGAUCCCAUCUUUCCAUCUUCACCGUUGAGCACCCCUCUCUUCACAGCAUAACCCCUCUCGUCUGUUCUUCGAUUUCAGCUGAAGCAAAAGCGAGAAAGCAAAAGCAAGCUCAAGGAUUUUAUUGAUUUCUCUGGAGCGAGCGCAGAUGGAUCAUCACAUCACAUCAGGCUUCAAACCCCGAUCGAAUCACUCAAUAGAUGAUGUCUCGCUGAGCAUUUAUUUUCCUGAUCCAAAGUGACCUCGCCUCAUCUCUCUCUCCAUCUAAAACCCUAACACUAAAGCAGUGUUUUCUCUCUCCCUAAAUUCAAAUGUAUUUGUGACUUUCAAAUCAGUCCCAAAUCUCAAUCUCUCUCUCUCUCUUUCUCUCUCACCAUCAAACCCCCAAAUCAGACCUUUAACAAAUUAACACUCGAGGGGAUUGAACAAUCAUGUACUUGUUCGUUCUCUCUCUCUCUCUCUACACACACGGUAUUUGUUUGUUCCCGAAUUUUUAUUUUUGUUUUAUGUUUUGGUGUUUUUUGUUGUUACUUUUUUUUUUCAUUUUCCUUCUUUUUUUCAUUUUUUUUUCUUUUUCUGGGUGUUUUUUUUAUGCUAAAUUUGAAUUUGGGUUUACUGUAUAUUAGUUAAGUUUUACUUAUUUUUUGAUUGCCUGUAGAAUCUACAAAUCUAAGAGGCUUAGGAUCAUUCCUUAUUUGUCUGAAUUAUUUGCAACAAUCAUGUAUCCUCUAGUUUGCAUUAUGCUCUGUCGUGAUGCUUUUUUUUGAAAAUAAAUUAUAAUUUGAUCA
rnacentral:lncRNA from 1 species